AACGAACGCUGGCGGCAUGCCUAACACAUGCAAGUCGAACGAGGCUCUUCGGGGCUUAGUGGCGCACGGGUGCGUAACGCGUGGGAAUCUGCCCUUAGGUUCGGAAUAACAGCUGGAAACGGCUGCUAAUACCGGAUGAUAUCUCGAGAUCAAAGAUUUAUCGCCUGAGGAUGAGCCCGCGUUGGAUUAGGUAGUUGGUGGGGUAAAGGCCUACCAAGCCGACGAUCCAUAGCUGGUCUGAGAGGAUGAUCAGCCACACUGGGACUGAGACACGGCCCAGACUCCUACGGGAGGCAGCAGUGGGGAAUAUUGGACAAUGGGCGCAAGCCUGAUCCAGCAAUGCCGCGUGAGUGAUGAAGGCCCUAGGGUUGUAAAGCUCUUUUACCCGGGAAGAUAAUGACUGUACCGGGAGAAUAAGCCCCGGCUAACUCCGUGCCAGCCGCCGCAGUAAUAC
rnacentral:rRNA from 1 species